GCCGGGCAUGGUGGCGUGUGCCUGUAGUCCCAACUACUUGAGAGGCUGAGGCAGGAGAAUCGCUUGAACCCAGGAGGCGGAGGUUGCAGUGAGCUGAGAUGGCGCCACUGCACUCCAGCCUGGGUGACAGAGUGAGACUCUGUCUCAA
rnacentral:sRNA from 1 species